GGCCUGUGUGACUGCGCAGGAGGCAGGAGGAAGCAGCCAGUGCUGGCAUACGGACGUGGAUGUGGAUGGGAGUUUUUGAGGCCCUGCUGGUCCCAGGAUUUCUGUUCUAUGGUCAGUCAACAGAUGUUUCUUGGGCAUCUACUAUAUGCUAAUGUCUCUGCAAGGCACUGGGAACAACCAGAAACAAGAUGGACACAGGGCCUACCAUGAAGCUUUCAGUCUGCAGGGGGAGCGGAGGCACACUGUGGCCAAGCGACUUGCCCAAGACCGCAGAGCUGGUGGGGGGAAGAGCUGGGUGGGACCCCAGCGUGUCUGGCUUCUCCUCCGUGUCCACUCCCCAAAUUCCUCCCCUAGCCUCCCGUGAGCUGCCACCCCAGGUUUGGGGCCUGCUCUCUCUCACCGUUGUAGUCAGGCCUGGAGACAGUGGGACGGACUAACUGGCCUCUCAGACACCCCUCACAUGUCCUUCCUCCCACCGAAUCCCUUCCAGGUCCCUGACUCCUGGGCCACUCAGCAUGGUCUUUGGCACCGUGUGAGCUGGACCUCCCUCACUGGACAGAGGCUGGGACCAGGAUGGGACGGGGAAGAAACCAGGGAGACACACUUUCUGGAUUUGUGUGUGUCAGCCUUGGCUCCGGAAAUGAAAUGCCUUUUAAUUUCA